rnacentral:rRNA from 1 species
GCCCGCUACAGAAACUACAAAGGAAUUGACGGGGCCCGCACAAGCGGUGGAGUAUGUGGUUUAAUUCGAUGCAACGCGAAGAACCUUACCUGGUCUUGACAUCCCAGAAAUCCCUUGGAAACUUGGGAGUGCUUCCAUUAGGAAGAAUCUGGAGACAGGUGCUGCAUGGCUGUCGUCAGCUCGUGUCGUGAGAUGUUGGGUUAAGUCCCGCAACGAGCGCAACCCUUGCCUUUAGUUGCCAGCAGUUCGGCUGGGCACUCUAAAGGGACUGCCGGUGUUAAACCGGAGGAAGGUGGGGAUGACGUCAAGUCCUCAUGGCCUUUAUGACCAGGGCUACACACGUACUACAAUGGCCGAUACAAAGGGCAGCGACAUCGCGAGGUGAAGCCAAUCCCAUAAAAUCGGUCUCAGUCCGGAUUGGAGUCUGCAACUCGACUCCAUGAAGUUGGAAUCGCUAGUAAUCGUGGAUCAGCAUGCCACGGUGAAUACGUUCCCGGGCCUU